UACGGGGGGGGGCAAGCGUUGUUCGGAAUUACUGGGCGUAAAGGGCUCGUAGGUGGCCAACUAAGUCGGACGUGAAAUCCCUCGGCUUAACCGAGGAACUGCCUGUCAGACUGGAAGGCUUGAGACCGGGAGAGGUGAGUGGAAUUCCCAGUGUAGCGGUGAAAUGCGUAGAUAUUGGGAGGAACACCAGUGGCGAAGGCGGCUCACUGGACCGGUACUGACGCUGAGGCGCGAAAGCGUGGGGAGCAAACAGG
rnacentral:rRNA from 1 species